rnacentral:rRNA from 1 species
UACGAAGGGGGCUAGCGUUGUUCGGAAUCACUGGGCGUAAAGCGCACGUAGGCGGAUCUUUAAGUCAGAGGUGAAAUCCCAAGGCUCAACCUUGGAACUGCCUUUGAUACUGGGGAUCUUGAGUCCGGGGAGAGGUGAGUGGAACUGCGAGUGUAGAGGUGAAAUUCGUAGAUAUUCGCAAGAACACCAGUGGCGAAGGCGGCUCACUGGCCCGGUACUGACGCUGAGGUGCGAAAGCGUGGGGAGCAAACAGG